GGUACAAGCAGAGGUAGUAUAAACUCAC
rnacentral:piRNA from 1 species